rnacentral:rRNA from 1 species
GACGAACCGUCCUAACGUUAUUCGGAAUCACUGGGCUUAAAGGGCGCGUAGGCGGAUGGGCAAGUCCGGAGUGAAGUCUUUCGGCUUAACCGGAAAAGUGCUUUGGAUACUGCUCGUCUUGAGGGAGGUAGGGGCAUGUGGAACUUCUGGUGGAGCGGUGAAAUGCGUUGAUAUCAGAAGGAACGCCGGUGGCGAAAGCGACGUGCUGGCCCUCUUCUGACGCUGAGGCGCGAAAGCUAGGGGAGCAAACGGG